AGCACCGCUCCGUGGACUAGAGCACAGCAACAAUCGAGAGCUCCACAGGCCCCUGGGGAUCCGAAUUUGGGCAGCAUGAUCCUGGGCAGCACGUCCCCAGGAGCCAACACCCAGAGAGGCUUCCAAUGGGGAAUCCGCACUGAUCAGGGGAGUCUAGAGUGAGGUUCUGCAGGGAUCAGUUCAAGGCCUGACACUAUUCAAGAGUUUCACUAACGCUCUGGCAGCAAGUCACGGCUGAUGGCACAAAGAUCGGCAAAACGAUAAGGAUGAGAACAGGGCAGCCACACAGACCAAUCUGGAUCACUUGGAGCUGUGCCCGAAGACACCCGUGUCCAUGUGCGUCUACAGGAGCUGUGCCCAAAGACACACGUGUCCGUGUGCGUCUACAGGAGCUGUGCCCAAAGACACACAUGUCCGUGUGCAUCUACAGGAGCUGUGCCCAAAGACACCCGUGUCCAUGUGCAUCUACAGGAGCUGUGCCCGAAGACACCCGUGUCCGUGUGCGUCUGCAGGGGCUAUGCCCGAAGACACCCGUUUCCGUGUGCGUCUACAGGGGCUGUGCCCAAAGACACACAUGUCCGUGUGUGUCUACAGGGGCUGUGCCCGAAGACACCCGUUUCCGUGUGCGUCU